rnacentral:rRNA from 1 species
UACGUAGGCAGCAAGCGUUGUUCGGAGUUACUGGGCGUAAAGGGUGCGUAGGCGGUCCUAUAAGUAUGGUGUGAAAUCUCCCGGCUUAACUGGGAGGGUGCGCUAUAGACUGUGGGACUAGAGUGUGGGAGAGGAAAGUGGAAUUCCCGGUGUAGCGGUGAAAUGCGUAGAUAUCAGGAGGAACACCGGUGGUGUAAACGGCUUUCUGGACCAUAAACUGACGCUGAGGCACGAAAGCCGUGGGUAGCAAACAGG